UACGGGGGGGGCAAGCGUUGUUCGGAAUUACUGGGCGUAAAGCGUGCGCAGGCGGUUCGUCGUGUCCGAUGUGAAAGCCCCGGGCUCAACCUGGGAAUGGCAUUGGAAACUGGCGGGCUUGAGUGUGGCAGAGGGGGGUGGAAUUCCGCGUGUAGCAGUGAAAUGCGUAGAGAUGCGGAGGAACACCGAUGGCGAAGGCAGCCCCCUGGGCUAACACUGACGCUCAGGCACGAAAGCGUGGGGAGCAAACAGG
rnacentral:rRNA from 1 species